AUGCGGGCAACCAUACAAAGUCAGCUCAGAAUCAAUCCAACCGGAACACCGAAGACCAACGAUGGAUGUCACCGUGGUGAAGCAACUCAGGCGGAUCCGCACGCUGGGCCGCAACUCGCUGCCAUGGCCGUGGUUGCAGCGCCAUUCCCGUCACGGGAUGCGGUCGCCGCCGAGCUGGCCAUGCGGCGCACCUGGCGCGGGCGCGCACCUGGCCGAUGCCGUCGCGCACCUAGCCGAUCACGCGCUCGCGGCCACCUCCUCAUGAGCUGCGCGGGCGCCUUCGAGGCGGGCGACCACGCGCUCGCGGCCGCGCACCUGGCCGAUGACAACGCCUCGCUCGCGGCCGUCUCGACCGCCUCCGGCAUCGGCCGCGUCGCCGUUCACUUCACCGACGCACCAGGCCGUGACGAGCUCCGCGAUCUCGGUCUCCGCCUCGCCGACCUCGCGCGCUCCGUCCGCGUCCGAUUCUCCUUCCGCGGGGUCGCCGCCAACAGCCUCAACGAGGUCCACCCGUGGAUGCUCCAGAUCACGCCGGGCGAGGCCGUGGCGGUCAACUUCGUGCUCCAGCUCCACCGCCUCCUCGCCGACAUAGCCGAUCAGGCGCCCAUCGACGCCGUUCUAGACUGCGUCGCCUCCUUGCAGCCCAAGAUCUUCACGGUCGUCGAGCAAGAGGCGGACCACAACAAACCGGGGUUCCUCGACAGGUUCACCGAGGCACUCUUCUACUACUCAGCGGUGUGGCUGGAGGGGCUGGACGGGGCCGCAUCGUCGGCGCAGGGGACGUAG
rnacentral:rRNA from 1 species